rnacentral:rRNA from 1 species
UGGGGAAUUUUGGACAAUGGGCGAAAGCCUGAUCCAGCAAUGCCGCGUGUGUGAAGAAGGCCUUCGGGUUGUAAAGCACUUUUGUCCGGAAAGAAAUCCUCUGGGUUAAUACCUCGGGGGGAUGACGGUACCGGAAGAAUAAGCACCGGCUAACUACGUGCCAGCAGCCGCGGUAAUACGUAGGGUGCAAGCGUUAAUCGGAAUUACUGGGCGUAAAGCGUGCGCAGGCGGUUUUGUAAGACGGAUGUGAAAUCCCCGGGCUUAACCUGGGAACUGCAUUCGUGACUGCAAGGCUAGAGUAUGGCAGAGGGGGGUAGAAUUCCACGUGUAGCAGUGAAAUGCGUAGAGAUGGUGGAGGAAUACCGAUGGCGAAGGCAGCCCCCUGGGCCAAUACUGACGCUCAUGCACGAAAGCGUGGGGAGCAAACAGGAUUCAGGAUACCCUGGUAGUCCACGCCCUAAACGAUGUC